GACGAACGCUGGCGGCGUGCUUAACACAUGCAAGUCGAACGGAAAGGCCCUGCUUUUGUGGGGUGCUCGAGUGGCGAACGGGUGAGUAACACGUGAGUAACCUGCCCUUGACUUUGGGAUAACUUCAGGAAACUGGGGCUAAUACCGGAUAGGAGCUCCUGCUGCAUGGUGGGGGUUGGAAAGUUUCGGCGGUUGGGGAUGGACUCGCGGCUUAUCAGCUUGUUGGUGGGGUAGUGGCUUACCAAGGCUUUGACGGGUAGCCGGCCUGAGAGGGUGACCGGCCACAUUGGGACUGAGAGACGGCCCAGACUCCUACGGGAGGCAGAAGUGGAGAAUAUUGCACAAUGGGCGGAAGCCUGAUGCAGCAACGCCGCGUGCGGGAUGACGGCCUUCGGGUUGUAAACCGCUUUCGCCUGUGACGAAGCGUGAGUGACGGUAAUGGGUAAAGAAGCACCGGCUAACUACGUG
rnacentral:rRNA from 1 species